rnacentral:rRNA from 1 species
CAGUCGCCGCGGGAAUACGAAGGGGGCUAGCGUUGUUCGGAUUUACUGGGCGUAAAGGGCGCGUAGGCGGACUGAUAAGUCAGGGGUGAAAUCCCAAGGCUCAACCUUGGAACUGCCUUUGAUACUGUUUGUCUUGAGUUCGAGAGAGGUAAGUGGAACUGCGAGUGUAGAGGUGAAAUUCGUAGAUAUUCGGAAGAACACCAGUGGCGAAGGCGGCUCACUGGACCGUUGUUGACGCUGAGGUGCGAAAGCGUGGGGAGCAAACAGGAUUAGAUACCCCCGUAGUCCCUGUCUCUUAUAC